AUUGAACGCUGGCGGCAUGCCUUACACAUGCAAGUCGAACGGCAGCACGGGAGCAAUCCUGGUGGCGAGUGGCGAACGGGUGAGUAAUAUAUCGGAACGUGCCCAGUCGUGGGGGAUAACGCAGCGAAAGCUGUGCUAAUACCGCAUACGAUCUAAGAAUGAAAGCGGGGGAUCGCAAGACCUCGCGCGAUUGGAGCGGCCGAUAUCAGAUUAGCUAGUUGGUGGGGUAAAGGCCCACCAAGGCGACGAUCUGUAGCUGGUCUGAGAGGACGACCAGCCACACUGGAACUGAGACACGGUCCAGGCUCCUACGGGAGGCAGCAGUGGGGAAUUUUGGACAAUGGGCGCAAGCCUGAUCCAGCAAUGCCGCGUGCAGGAUGAAGGCCUUCGGGUUGUAAACUGCUUUUGUACGGAACGAAACGGCCCUUUCUAUACAGGGGGCUAAUGACGGUACCGUAAGAAUAAGCACCGGCUAACUACGUGCCAGCCGCCGCGGUAA
rnacentral:rRNA from 1 species